rnacentral:rRNA from 1 species
AAGUCGGCAAAACGGAUCCGUAACCUUGGGAAAAAGAUUGCCUCUGAGGGCUGAGCCGGUAGGGCUGGGGUCCAGAAGCAGGAACGGCUCUGCACCGGGACUUAGCGAGGCUCGCCGCCGUAAAAAGCGGUGCGGCCGAGCCCGGACCAGCGUCGGGACCUUCCUGUGGAAAGCCACAGCUGUGCAUUUUCCGUGGGCUUCGCCCUGAGGUUCUUGCUUCGGCCGGCAGAAAACAGCCAACUCAGAACUGGCACUGACCGGGGGUAUCCGAUUG